ensembl:snRNA U6 U6 spliceosomal RNA
GUGCUCCCUUCGGCAGUACAUAUACUAAAAUUGGAAUGAUACAGAGAGUAUCAGCAUAGCCCCUGUGCAAGGAUGAUACAGAGCAUCUACUGUCCUGGAUUUC